CUAGGCUUGCAGGAUCUAUCUGUUCUUUUCCAUCCCCAAAAAUCAAAUGGUUGCUCCAGGAAAAUGUCCCCUUUGUGGCAGGGUGAAGGAAAAAGAGAGUGGCGAUGAAACCAAAAAUUAAAAUGACCUGAGUCCCAUAUGCUCCAGGAAUAGGUCCUGGGGAUGGUAGUGGAGGUCAGGGGGAGAAUGUUGGUGAGGUCAAAAUUUUUAAAGUUUCAAGUCCUAUCCCGAAUGCGGGUACCAGACACAGUACAAAGGUUCUCAAAGCCCAGUUACAUAUUCCAAACCAAACGCGGGCUCUUGAAGGGUGUUGAGGUAGGGAUGAGAUACAGGAUCGCCUGAAGAGGAUUUCUUCCUCUCUUAGGGACCUGCUUGGCUCCAGCUGACUCGGUUGAGGAGGAAAAACCUCCCACUCACUCCUCUUGGGCUCCCUGCAAGGAGAGAGUAGAGAUACCCCUGCCACCCAGUUGCAAGAAGUCGCCACUUCCCCAUCAGGCCGACUGAGUUCGGGCGACGUCUGGGCCGUCAUUUGAAGGCAUUUCCUUUUCUUUAAGAACAAAGGUUGGAGCCUAAGCCUUGCAGCGCUGGGCGCAGGAAAGUACACGGCGCGUGUCGAGAGAAAAAAAAAUACACACACGCAAUGACACCCGAGAAAGGGAAAGGGGAAAACACCAAUUCCCCGGGCGCUGGGCUUUUUCGACUUUUCCUUUAAAAAGAAAAAAGUUUUCAAGCUGCGCGGGCUUCCUGUGAGCGGCCGAGCCCGGGCCCCAGCGCCGCCUGCAGCCUCGGGAAGGGAGCGGCCCGCGGAGCCCGGAGCGGCCCGCAGAGCCAGCGCGGGGAACCAAGGAGACGCUCCUGGCACAGCAGAUAACUUGUCUGCAUUUCAAGAACAACCUACCAGAGACCUUACCUGUCACCUUGGCUCUCCCACCCAAAGGAGAUGGCUCUAAGGGUGGCACAAACCAGGAAGGGGAAAUCUGUGGUUUAAAUUCUUUAUGCCUCAUCCUCUGAGUGCUGAAGGCUGUAUGCUGUUAAUGCUAAUCGUGAUAGGGGUUUUUACCUCCAACUGACUCCUACAUGUUAGCAUUAACAGGGUAUGAUGCCUGUUACUAGCAUUCACAUGGAACAAAUUCUGCCGUGGGAGGAUGACAAAGAAGCAUGAGUCACCCUGCUGGAUAAACUUAAGACUUCAGGCUUUAUCAUUUUUCAAUUUUGUUCAUCAUAAUCUGGUCACUGGGAUGUUCAACCCUAAACUAAGUUUUAAAAGUAAGGUUAUUUAAAAAGAUUUAUCAGUACUAUCCUAAAUGCAAACAUUUUCAUUUAAACGUCAAGUCCACAUUUGUUUUUUAUCAUUAACAGAAGAUGUAUUCAUGUCAUUUUUAACUGUUCAUUGUAGUGGCUUGUUUUGGCUUGUUCACUGUAAUAUUCAUAAACACCUUUGAUUCAACUGUUAGAAAUGUCAGCUAAACAUAAAUUUCUAUCAAAAUUAGAAGGACAACUAACCUCCAGUUAUAUCAUGGAUUGUCUGGCAACAUUUUUAAAAAGAUUUAAAAAUUGGUAUUUUCCCCUAUGUAACAAUUUCCUGUUUAGACAACUUCAGUUUAAAACUAAUACUUUUAUUUGACUCUAAAGGGAAAUUGAAAGGCUGUGACCCUGAAUUUUUUAAAUAGAAUAUUUUUAACAAUUAGCAUGGUAAAUAACAUCUGAAAGCUAAUGAGAUUUUUUUUUCUGUACAAGAUACAAAUAUUUAAUCAAAAAACUUCACAUUUGAAGUGAAGAACCAACCUAGGUUCAAGUUCAAUAGCUUAGCCACAUAAUACUGCUGUGUGAGCAGAGAAUCCACCUUUCCACUCUAAGCCUGUUUCUUCAUCCAUAAAAUGGGGAUAAUACUUUACACAGUUGUUGUGAGGCUUAAGUGAGAUAGAUAAUUAUGAUUUGCAAACUUUUUAAGGUUUAGAUUUCUAUGCAGUUUUUCUAUAUAACCAUCACUUACAAAUAUGUAACCAAAUGUAAUUGUUAGUAUAUUUAAUAUAUACUUAUUUUAACAACUCUUCUCAACAUUUUGUCAGGGUUAUUCACUGUAACUAAAUAAAUCUCAUGAGUCUUUAGUUGA